rnacentral:rRNA from 1 species
UCCGGGGGGGGCAAGCGUUGUUCGGAAUUACUGGGCGUAAAGGGCUCGUAGGUGGCCAACUAAGUCGGACGUGAAAUCCCUCGGCUUAACCGGGGAACUGCAUCCGAUACUGGAUGGCUUGAGUUCGGGAGAGGGAUGCGGAAUUCCAGGUGUAGCGGUGAAAUGCGUAGAUAUCUGGAGGAACACCGGUGGCGAAGGCGGCAUCCUGGACCGACACUGACGCUGAGGAGCGAAAGCCAGGGGAGCAAACGGG